rnacentral:snRNA from 1 species
AUCCGAGUGCAAGGGCAUUUCGCGUAUCGAUGAGGAUUCGUCCUAGAUCGCGUUUUUGCUAGUUGAGAACUAUCUUCAUAGUUUAGCUUUCGUCUCCUAGCUGGCCUAGGCCGGCUAGGGAAUCUUUGGAACCCCCAUUUUCUCGAUUGAGA